CUCAAAUGUGUUUUCAAAGUACCUGCUACACUAAACUGCUUAAAACAAAUUUCACACUUGUGAGGUUUUUCUCCAGUGUGAACUCUCAAAUGAUUUUUCAAAGCAUAUGCUUCACUAAACUGCUUAAAACAAAUUUCACACUUGUGAGGUUUUUCUCCAGUGUGCACUCUCAAAUGAUUUUUCAAAGCACAUGCUUCACUAAACUGCUUAAAACAAAUUUCACACUUGUGAGGUUUUUCUCCAGUGUGUACUCUCAAAUGCUUUUUCAAAGCACUUGCUUCACUAAACCGCUUAAAACAAAUUUCACACUUGUGAGGUUUUUCUCCAGUGUGCACUCUCAAAUGUUUUUUCAAAGAACCUGCUUCACUAAACUGCUUAAAACAAAUUUCACACUUGUGAGUUUUU